rnacentral:rRNA from 1 species
UACACAUGCAAGUCGAGCGGAGNGAGGUGCUUGCACCUUAUCUUAGCGGCGGACGGGUGAGUAAUGCUUAGGAAUCUGCCUAUUAGUGGGGGACAACAUUCCGAAAGGAAUGCUAAUACCGCAUACGUCCUACGGGAGAAAGCAGGGGAUCUUCGGACCUUGCGCUAAUAGAUGAGCCUAAGUCGGAUUAGCUAGUUGGUGGGGUAAAGGCCUACCAAGGCGACGAUCUGUAGCGGGUCUGAGAGGAUGAUCCGCCACACUGGGACUGAGACACGGCCCAGACUCCUACGGGAGGCAGCAGUGGGGAAUAUUGGACAAUGGGGGGAACCCUGAUCCAGCCAUGCCGCGUGUGUGAAGAAGGCCUUAUGGUUGUAAAGCACUUUAAGCGAGGAGGAGGCUACUGAGACUAAUACUCUUGGAUAGUGGACGUUACUCGCAGAAUAAGCACCGGCUAACUCUGUGCCAGCAGCCGCGGUAAUACAGAGGGUGCGAGCGUUAAUCGGAUUUACUGGGCGUAAAGCGUGCGUAGGCGGCUUUUUAAGUCGGAUGUGAAAUCCCCGAGCUUAACUUGGGAAUUGCAUUCGAUACUGGGAAGCUAGAGUAUGGGAGAGGAUGGUAGAAUUCCAGGUGUAGCGGUGAAAUGCGUAGAGAUCUGGAGGAAUACCGAUGGCGAAGGCAGCCAUCUGGCCUAAUACUGACGCUGAGGUACGAAAGCAUGGGGAGCAAACAGGAUUAGAUAC